AGAGUUUGAUCCUGGCUCAGAACGAACGCUGGCGGCAGGCUUAACACAUGCAAGUCGAACGCAUCCUUCGGGGUGAGUGGCAGACGGGUGAGUAACGCGUGGGAACGUGCCCUUCAGUUCGGGAUAACCCAGGGAAACUUGGGCUAAUACCGGAUACGUGCGAGAGCAGAAAGAUUUAUCGCUGAAGGAUCGGCCCGCGUCUGAUUAGCUGGUUGGUGAGGUAAUGGCUCACCAAGGCGACGAUCAGUAGCUGGUCUGAGAGGAUGAUCAGCCACAUUGGGACUGAGACACGGCCCAAACUCCUACGGGAGGCAGCAGUGGGGAAUAUUGGACAAUGGGCGCAAGCCUGAUCCAGCCAUGCCGCGUGAGUGAUGAAGGCCUUAGGGUUGUAAAGCUCUUUCGUCCGGGACGAUAAUGACGGUACCGGAAGAAGAAGCCCCGGCUAACUUCGUGCCAGCAGCCGCGGUAAUACGAAGGGGGCUAGCGUUGUUCGGAAUCACUGGGCGUAAAGGGCGCGUAGGCGGCUUUAUAAGUCGGGGGUGAAAGCCUGUGGCUCAACCACAGAAUUGCCUUCGAUACUGUAGAGCUUGAGACCGGAAGAGGUAAGUGGAACUGCGAGUGUAGAGGUGAAAUUCGUAGAUAUUCGCAAGAACACCAGUGGCGAAGGCGGCUUACUGGUCCGGUUCUGACGCUGAGGCGCGAAAGCGUGGGGAGCAAACAGGAUUAGAUACCCCCGUAGUCC
rnacentral:rRNA from 2 species